UAAAAGUAUUUAUGGACUAAGACAUGUGCCCUUUUAGAAAAGUUUUAUUUGAGUGCUAGCACACCUGUUGAUGAUGAAUAAGACCAAUUAAGUAUCCGCCUCAUUAUCGCUUGUCUUUUACAGCUAGCUCAUUUACGAAACUAGGUGGAAACAGGUAACUUCGUUGGCCCAAGCAGGUUGCUGAGCAAGGCAGCAAUCAUGUCAUUAGACGAAAUGUUGGUAAAAAAAAAGGUCACGAUUGGAUGUGAAUUCCCAGGCAAAAGGUGAUAUGAAAUCAGGCAAAACGCAUUAAUAAGCUAUUUAACCUGAUU